CCGCCGGGCUCCAGGGGCUCGGCGGCCGAGCAGCAGAGGUUGGGCUGGGAGGAGGAGAAGACGCGGUCCAGCACUUGCCGCCGUCGCUUGAAGCCGCUCCGCUUCCCGCCGGGCGUCGCAUCGUCGCACCUCGGGACUGAGGGUGUCCGUGGACGAAUCUGUGCUUUGGCGGCUGUGAAUGCAGCGUGGGUAGCAGGUCCCUAAACGUAUGCGGAGGAAGAGAAGAAAAGAAGAAAGACGAAAAAAAGUCAGUUCGUCUGCCACGCUCGUAUUUUUAAAGGAAAAAAAAAAAAAAAAAAGGAAAUACAUUGUUUGCUCAUCAUAGUGCCCCCAUCACUGCAUGUUUGGAUGUUUAAUACCAUCUGCUAUCUUAAUACUGUAUAAGAUACACUAUAAUACUAUAUAAGAAACCUUAUGCUGCUGUCUUAAUACUGCUAUCUUAAUACUGCUUAUUUAUCAAGCACAUAUAAUUAUAUGUAUAUUUCUUUUCCAAGUUAAGUAAAGGCGGCUUGUCCACCUGGGUCCAGGUUGGUAAAAUUUAGUCAAGUUCAAUAAUAAAUGUCAAUUACCAGUUUUAAAGACGCUUCAUAGAAGAACAAGAUGUAAAUCCCUACAUACUAUCAUAUAUUUUCAGUAAUCCUAAUCCUUUCCCCGACUGUUCUGAUCCUUCCAAGAUCCUUCAAUAUCAAUCUUCCCAUCAUUUUUUUUUUCUUUUUUUACUUUAAUAUAACUUUUAUUUUAAAGUUUCUUUUUAAAUUAAAAUAAUAUCAGCAGGAUGACUUGAGAACAGGUUUCCACACUGCUGAAACAAAAUAUUUCUUGCACACAGUAACCCAUACCUUUAUCCGGUGUACUUCUGGGUUUCAUUUCCGAAGUUGCUUCUUUAUACCAUACAGGAUUUGGCCACCCAUCUUCUGAUUCAGCUUUCCCCCAAAAAGUUUGCAACCAAGCAUUUGACAAUACAACUUUUGCUGAACAGAACAGGAAGAACACAAAUUAAAAGUAGUGAGAUAAAAUGAUGCUUUCAUAUCACCAGGGCCUUGACAGCUCAAUCUACAGUAUUUGAGAAAACAGCCAGAAUAACCUCUGAACCACUGGAGAUUAUUUUUGAGAAGUCCUGUCAGAUAAGUGACAUUUCAGGACCAGAAAAAGCCAAACAUGAUUAUAGCCCAAAAAAUUUAAAAAAAAAAAAAAAAGUGAAGAUAGAGAAUCACAGAUAAGUCAACCUACUUGAUCCCUUGAAGUGAAUACACAUAAUCAGGUUCUAACCACGUAAAAGCAAAAGCAUCAUAUAGAAGAGCUCAAAUGGAUCAAAGCCUGGAGGAAGCUUCUAUGUCUCAAUUUCUGAGAUGACGUCUUUAAAUUGAAGAAAUGUGCUGAAAUGGAAGCUCUUUGAAAGGUUUGCUUUCUUGUAAAUAAUGGAUUUACUCAGUGAGCAGGAACCAAAAGAGUAAAAGGAAAAAUUAAAUUGGUUCUUCAUCUAUACUGGGGAGUGACAAAUGCUAUCAAAGUAUUUCAAUACGUGUAUCUGCCUUGUGUUCUCCUCUUGAUUUUCACGUUACAGUUGAAACAGCUGUGAAAUAAGCAGCUUUUCAGAUAAGGAGUAAUGUCUAUUAAAGUUAUGGAAAAGUGAAUACUCUUUUCACAAAGCCAAUAGGUAUAGGAAGAACACAACAUUGUAUUUCGAAGAACUUAUUUGACAAAAGACUGAACUACUCCAAUAUCUUUAAUUGACAGUUAUUUUCAGUAGUGAUCACACUUUCCUAUCCAAAAAAAAAAAAAAAAAAAAAAAAAAAAAAGAUCAGAAAUUUGUUGUUUGUAUAGCUACAGAUUCCUUCCAGCAGCCAGUCUUGUGAGUGCAAUACUGCAUGGAAGCUGGUGGCCUAGGAGGAGUGGACAAGCCGCAGUACUGCAGGCUGGUGUUUUCAGUCUGGCUUCUGCUGCAUUUUUAUGACCCCCUGCACUGAGUGGUCCCAAAUCACAUGCUGGCAGGCUUCCUGAUUCUUUUUCCACAAACACCAGCAUAAGCUUUCCUUACAUUAAAAUUGUGUCAUUACAUCAUCAUUUCCAAAUCCAUCUAAUUCAGGUCCAUUUUAUCCAACCGGAAAGUAGAUUUACUUGGAAAAGGUCAAAGUAGCUUAGGCUGUUCAGUUGCAGAAACACUCAUUGUCCUGGGGGCGAAGUGGAUGCGGGACCGGAAAGCAUGUAUGGCCACACUAACAGGCAGAGGGGGAAUUUUCUAGAACUAAUUCAAAUCAAUUCACCAUAAACAGUUUUAUAAUAAAAUGAGUCAUUCUGCACAUUCUCUGAGCUAUAUUCGUUUAUUAAAGUUGAAGCUGAACCUGGCAGAAAGAUCACAGCAAGACUUCAAGCAACAUUCAAAUGGAAAUCUCAACAUUUAACGGGAGUAUGGGUAUAACACCUGUAUAGAUCAGAAUGACACUUUUCAAACUGUACAAAUAAGCCAUUAUUAGCCUUGGAAAUAAAAGUGGUAACAUAGAAUAA